UCAACUUCUAUCAAACUGCCAAUCCUGAUGUAGCAAAGCUGUUCCACCUUGAUCCCCAAGCCAAACGUCCAGUUCUUGUCUUGAUUAAAAAAGAAACUGAAAAAAUUAACCAUUUUGGUGGUCAGUUCACAAAAUCAGCAAUAGCUGAAUUUGUUUAUGAGAACAAGCUUCCUCUUGUCAACUACUUCACCAGGGAAGGUGCACCGGAGAUAUUUGAAAAUCUAAUCAAGAAACAGUUAAUUCUUUUUGCC